GGAGUGGUUACACUGGUUUAUGGUUCAGGCCUACACAGCGGUAGGGCUCCAGAGACUUACAUUUCCAUAACCAAAGUGAAUGAAUAUUAGUACAUUUGUCAGAAGAAGGAGAAACAACAAUAUCUCUGUAGGUACAGUAAGGAUGUUCAUAGAAUCAAGUCCAAAGAAUUAACAAUCACUAGGUUAUGCCCUUUAAGACGGUUCUGGUCCAUAACCCUCCCUUUAAGACGGUUCUGGUCCAUAACCCUCCCUUUAAGACGGUUCUGGUCCAUAACCCUCCCUUUAAGACUGUUUUGGUCCAUAACCCUCCCUUUAAGACGGUUCUGGUCCAUAACCCUCCCUUUAAGACGGUUCUGGUUCAUAACCCUCCCUUUAAGACGGUUCUGGUUCAUAACCCUCCCUUUAAGACGGUUCUGGUUCAUUACCCUCCCUUUAAGACGGUUCUGGUUCAUAACCCUCCCUUUAAGACUGUUUUGGUUCAUAACCCUCCCUUUAAGACUGUUUUGGUUCAUUACCCUCCCUUUAAGAGUGUUUUGGUUCAUUACCCUCCCUUUAAGACGGUUUUGGUCCAUAACCCUCCCUUUAAGACUGUUUUGGUUCAUUACCCUCCCUUUAAGACUGUUUUGGUUCAUAACCCUCCCUUUAAGACGGUUUUGGUUCAUAACCCUCCCUUUAAGACGGUUUUGGUUCAUUACCCUCCCUUUAAGACGGUUUUGGUUCAUUACCCUCCCUUUAAGACAGUUUUGGUCCAUAAGCCUCCCUUUAAGAUGGUUUUGGUCCAUAACCCUCCCUCCCUUCAUUACCCUUGCCUGCCCCGUGUUUGAUUCCCACACCCGGUCCUGUCGUCACCUCCCCAGCGGCCCCGGGGCCCCGGGUGGUGAGGUCCUGUCAUCAGCGGGCCCCGGGGCCCUCGCUCUCCCGGCGUUGAGUCAUCCUCAGACGCUGACAGAGACUGAGACUCACAACCCGUCUGGAAGCGUCCUCAGACGUCUGUUCCCGUCGUCACGGUGACCGUACGGCCACGUGUGCGUGUGUCAGCGUUCGGGG
ensembl:lncRNA